rnacentral:rRNA from 1 species
UACGAAGGGGGCUAGCGUUGCUCGGAAUCACUGGGCGUAAAGCGCACGUAGGCGGAUCUUUAAGUCAGGGGUGAAAGCCCGGAGCUCAACUCCGGAAUUGCCUUUAAGACUGCAUCGCUAGAAUCAUGGAGAGGUGAGUGGAAUUCCGAGUGUAGAGGUGAAAUUCGUAGAUAUUCGGAAGAACACCAGUGGCGAAGGCGACUCACUGGACAUGUAUUGACGCUGAGGUGCGAAAGCGUGGGGAGCAAACAGG